GACGAACGCUGGCGGCGUGCUUAACACAUGCGAGUCGAACGGAAAGGCCCUGCUUUUGUGGGGUGCUCGAGUGGCGAACGGGUGAGUAACACGUGAGUAACCUGCCCUUGACUUUGGGAUAACUUCAGGAAACUGGGGCUAAUACCGGAUAGGAGCUCCUGCUGCAUGGUGGGGGUUGGAAAGUUUCGGCGGUUGGGGAUGGACUCGCGGCUUAUCAGCUUGUUGGUGGGGUAGUGGCUUACCAAGGCUUUGACGGGUAGCCGGCCUGAGAGGGUGACCGGCCACAUUGGGACUGAGAUACGGCCCAGACUCCUACGGGAGGCAGCAGUGGGGAAUAUUGCACAAUGGGUGGAAGCCUGAUGCAGCAACGCCGUGUGCGGGAUGACGGCCCUCGGGUUGUAAACCGCUUUCGCUCAUGACGAAGCUUUGUGUGACGGUAGUGGGUAAAGAAGCACCGGCUAACUACGUG
rnacentral:rRNA from 1 species